GACGAACGCUGGCGGCGUGCUUAACACAUGCAAGUCGAGCGGAAAGGCCACUUCGGUGGUACUCGAGCGGCGAACGGGUGAGUAACACGUGAGUAAUCUGCCCCUGGCUUUGGGAUAGCCACCGGAAACGGUGAUUAAUACCGGAUACGACCACUUCUCGCAUGGGAUGGUGGUGGAAAGUUUUUUCGGCCAGGGAUGUGCUCGCGGCCUAUCAGCUUGAUGGUGAGGUAAUGGCUCACCAUGGCUUCGACGGGUAGCCGGACUGAGAGGGUGACCGGUCACACUGGGACUGAGACACGGCCCAGACUCCUACGGGAGGCAGCAGUGGGGAAUAUUGGGCAAUGGGCGGAAGCCUGAUCCAGCAACGCCGGGUGAGGGAUGACGGCCUUCGGGUUGUAAACCUCUUUCAGCAGGGACGAAGCGCAAGUGACGGUACCUGCAGAAGAAGCACCGGCCAACUACGUGCCAGCCGCCGCAGUAA
rnacentral:rRNA from 1 species